UACCAGCUCUCCGAGUGGUGUGGAUGUUUAUUGGGCCUAAAGCAUCCGUAGCUGGCUGGGCAAGUCCCCUGUUAAAUCCACCGUUUUAAUCGUUGGUGUGCGGGGGAUACUGUUCGGCUAGGGGACGGGAGAGGCCGACGGUAUUUUCGGGGUAGGGGUGAAAUCCUAUAAUCCCGGGAAGACCACCAGUGGCGAAGGCUGUCGGCUGGAACGCGCCCGACGGUGAGGGAUGAAAGCUGGGGGAGCGAACCGGAUUAGAUACCCGGGUAGUCCCAGCUGUAAACGAUGCAGGCUAGGUGUUUGGGCGGCCACGUGCCGCUCUAGUGCCGCAGAAAAGUCGUUAAGCCUGCCGCCUGGGGAGUACGGCCGCAAGGCUGAAACUUAAAGGGAUUGGCGGGGAGCACCACAAGGGGUGAAGCUUGCGGUUU
rnacentral:rRNA from 1 species